CGAGGAACAGAUGAAAAAGGAGUUUGAGAGUCUUCACCAGUUUUUGAGAGAGGAGGAAGCAGCCAGGAUACUUGAACUCAGGAAGGAACAGGGAUGAUUUUUUACAGUACCUGGAUGAGUCACACAGAGCCAAAGGUUGGCAGCUCUCUGAUAGAUGUGGCCAAACACCUGGGAUAUCCUCCACUGUGCUGUCAGGGAGAAGAUGAAACACACUGGCACCAACAUUAUCUCACCUGUAGUGUCAACAGAUGGCAUGAGUCGCAGGAAGACUGGGCGUGCAUAAGAGGGCAGGGCUUUCUGUACAGCAGUGAAAAAUGCAUUGAGGUCAAACUGGUCUCCUGCAUGAGCUAUUGCUGCCAUACCAGCCUUUCCCUCCACACCUGCAGACAGACAGAAUGGUGAUAAACUCCAUAGACGGCCACGUCAGUAUGUCCCAGCAGGCCACUGAGGACUCCCUCCACCUCUGUGGUGGAAACAUUCUCCCCUCGCCAUCGAAACGUGUCGCCGCUGCGAUCCCUGAAGUACAUGUAGCCAUAUUC